GGGGAAUUUUGGACAAUGGGCGCAAGCCUGAUCCAGCAAUGCCGCGUGCAGGUAGAAGGCCUUCGGGUUGUAAACCGCUUUUGUACGGAACGAAACGGCUCUGGUUAAUACCUGGGGCUAAUGACGGUACCGUAAGAAUAAGCACCGGCUAACUACGUGCCAGCAGCCGCGGUGAUACGUAGGGUGCAAGCGUUAAUCGGAAUUACUGGGCGUAAAGCGUGCGCAGGCGGUUUUGUAAGACAGGCGUGAAAUCCCCGGGCUCAACCUGGGAAUGGCGCUUGUGACUGCAAAGCUGGAGUGCGGCAGAGGGGGAUGGAAUUCCGCGUGUAGCAGUGAAAUGCGUAGAUAUGCGGAGGAACACCGAUGGCGAAGGCAAUCCCCUGGGCCUGCACUGACGCUCAUGCACGAAAGCGUGGGGAGCAAAC
rnacentral:rRNA from 1 species